rnacentral:snoRNA from 1 species
GUUGGUUGAAAAUCACCCCUCCUCCCCUGCCCCCGGCUUUAGCCAUAGCCAGGGGUGAGAUGCGGCGCCCAGAGCCAACAGGGGCCUCAGCUCAGCACCCGCUGCCUCAUGUGCGGCGGUGAAACCCAGGUCCUGACAGGC